rnacentral:rRNA from 1 species
AUUGAACGCUGGCGGCAUGCCUUACACAUGCAAGUCGAACGGUAACAGGUUAAGCUGACGAGUGGCGAACGGGUGAGUAAUAUAUCGGAACGUGCCCAGUCGUGGGGGAGUAACGUAGCGAAAGACUACGCUAAUACCGCAUACGAUCUAUGGAUGAAAGACGGGGGAGUCGCAAGACCUCGCGCGAUUGGAGCGGCCGAUAUCAGAUUAGGUAGUUGGUGGGGUAAAGACCCACCAAGCCGACGAUCUGUAGCUGGUCUGAGAGGACGACCAGCCACACUGGGACUGAGACACGGCCCAGACUCCUACGGGAGGCAGCAGUGGGGAAUUUUGGUACAAUGGGCGCAAGCCUGAUCCAGCAAUGCCGCGUGCAGGAUGAAGGCC